CCUGUUGGAGCGCGGGGACCGCCGUGCUGGGGGCGCGGGCAGCCCUGCGGGGGACCGCGCGGGCCCGGCUUCCUGUGCACAGCAGUUUUCUCGAACUCUCCAUCUCCGCUUCAUUGGGGCGCAACGCUGCCGGGAGACCCCGUCCGGAUCUGCCGAAGAAAGGAGUGUCAUGAAAAAGGAACAGAAAAAGAGACGUCUCUGUUGGUGAAAGGGGAGUUUUCUCACCCAGUCGGUGGUUGCUUCAUGAUUGGAAGAGAAGUACCUGGGUGGCUGAAGAGAUUAAAUUUUUAUAGUUGGACAGACGAAGCUGAUAAAUGAAGACAUGGAAAUGCUUUCUCUGGGUCCUAAUAGGCUGAUGAGUAAGCAAGCCUGAAAAAGACAGAUUUGAAAUGAGGACAGGAAUUUUGAGUUUUUUAAAACCAAGUAGGACUUUGAACACUUUUUGAGGAUGUUUUUCUUUCAAAAAAUGGAGGAAGAAAAACUUCUCAAAGCAACAAGUGUAAAAAGUUGAGAGGAAUAACAACUGAGUUCACACCAAGAAUUUGAGUACUUCAUCAACUUCUCUGGGUAGACACGCAAAGGUGUCAUACACGUAUGGUGAUUUUGUCAUCGGGGAUGGCCUCCUAUGCUAGGAAUGACUUAAUUUGGAUUUUGGAGUGCUUUUUCUUUUCUUUUUUUUUUUUUAACAAUUGUGUGUUUUGACACUUCAUGUUAGAUAGAUUUAUGUAAAAGAAGGAAAUCCUGAAUUCAUAGUAUGUUUAACUUUAUACCACUGUUUACUGCCUGAUACAGAAAAAUUAGAGGUUUUAACAUUCCUUGAAGUUUUAUGGGAAGCAAAACUGUGUCAGGGACACAGAUACACAGUAUAAGUUUUCUCUUUUUGGCAACUGUACUUGGUUUGAAUGAGCCGAAUGUCAGCUGGAUUGCACAGCAUAUACGAUUUACAAUCUUGGUUUUAUCGAGGCCUUAAAUGUAUGUUUUCUACUAACAGAUGGGAAACACAUUGAACACUGUGUUUGACAUGUAUGCCUAAGGA
rnacentral:lncRNA from 1 species